rnacentral:rRNA from 1 species
AGUGAACGCUGGCGGUAGGCCUAACACAUGCAAGUCGAACGGCAGCACAGGAGAGCUUGCUCUCUGGGUGGCGAGUGGCGGACGGGUGAGGAAUACAUCGGAAUCUACCUUUUCGUGGGGGAUAACGUAGGGAAACUUACGCUAAUACCGCAUAAGACCUUCGGGUGAAAGCCGGGGACCUUCGGGCCUGGCGCGGAUAG